GACGAACGCUGGCGGCGUGCUUAACACAUGCAAGUCGAACGGAAAGGCCCCUUUGGGGGUACUCGAGUGGCGAACGGGUGUGUAACACGUGAGUAACCUGCCCUUGACUUCGGGAUAACUUCAGGAAACUGGGGCUAAUACCGGAUAGGAAUCCUUGCUGCAUGGUGGGGGUUGGAAAGCUUCGGCGGUUUUGGAUGGACUCGCGGCUUAUCAGCUUGUUGGUGGGGUAGUGGCUUACCAAGGCUUUGACGGGUAGCCGGCCUGAGAGGGCGACCGGCCACAUUGGGACUGAGAUACGGCCCAGACUCCUACGGGAGGCAGCAGUGGGGAAGAUUGCACAAUGGGCGGAAGCCUGAUGCAGCAACGCCGCGUGCGGGAUGACGGCCUUCGGGUUGUAAACCGCUUUCAGCAGGGGCGAAGCUUGUGGUGACGGUACCUGCAGAAGAAGCACCGGCUAACUACGUG
rnacentral:rRNA from 1 species